rnacentral:lncRNA from 1 species
CAUGCAGUCCCCGCCCUCCUGAGGGCUGCAGCAGACGGAAUGUCACCACAGAUGGAGAAGAGCUCAAUCAAGCACAGGUUUUGGAUACCUUGACCCCGAGAGGAUGUGCAUUUUUAGCAGGUCAGGCGGAGGUGAUGUGGGUUGCGUGGCGAUGCCGGGAAAAACUCACACACCUGGGUGAAGCACGCAGACUGAUGCUGACGCCAGACGGCAAGAACAGCCGAAGUCUUAUCAGAGGAGUCCCCAGCCCAAGUCCACCUGGCGCCAAUU